GACGAAGGUGGCAAGCGUUGUUCGGAAUCACUGGGCUUAAAGAGCACGUAGGCGGCUCAUCAAGCGUCUUGUGAAAUCCCCCGGCUCAACCGGGGAAUGGCUAGGCGAACUGAUGGGCUUGAGGCAGGCAGGGGCGAGUGGAACUCUUGGUGGAGCGGUGGAAUGCGUAGAUAUCAAGAGGAACGCCGGAGGCGAAGGCGACUCGCUGGGCCUGCUCUGACGCUGAGGUGCGAAAGCCAGGGGAGCGAACGGGAUUAGAUACCCUCGUA
rnacentral:rRNA from 1 species